rnacentral:rRNA from 1 species
GAUGAACGCUAGCUACAGGCUUAACACAUGCAAGUCGAGGGGCAGCAUGACCUAGCAAUAGGUUGAUGGCGACCGGCGCACGGGUGAGUAACACGUAUCCAACCUGCCGAUUAUUCCGGGAUAGCCUUUCGAAAGAAAGAUUAAUACUGGAUAGCAUAGCGAGAAGGCAUCUUCUUGUUAUUAAAGAAUUUCGAUAAUCGAUGGGGAUGCGUUCCAUUAGUUUGUUGGCGGGGUAACGGCCCACCAAGACAUCGAUGGAUAGGGGUUCUGAGAGGAAGGUCCCCCACAUUGGAACUGAGACACGGUCCAAACUCCUACGGGAGGCAGCAGUGAGGAAUAUUGGUCAAUGGACGAGAGUCUGAACCAGCCAAGUAGCGUGAAGGAUGACUGCCCUAUGGGUUGUAAACUUCUUUUAUAUGGGAAUAAAGUGGGCCACGUGUGGCUUUUUGUAUGUACCAUACGAAUAAGGAUCGGCUAACUCCGUG